rnacentral:lncRNA from 1 species
AUGUGAAGGGAGUGGUAGGGCUGGCAAAAGGCCUGAGAAAGGUGAAGAGUGCUUACCCUUUGGUGGUGGCGGUGCUGCCCGAUGUGCCCGAGGCUCACCGCCGAUUGCUUCAAGCCCAGGGCUGCACUGUUCGGGAGAUCGAACCCGUUUACCCGCCUGAGAACCAAGUGCAGUUUGCCAUGGCUUAUUAUGUCAUCAACUACUCCAAGCUGCGGAUUUGGAAUGUAAGUGAGCCAAAACGAUACUUCUUUAGGUUGUCAUUCAUGUUCCUUUUUUCCUUUCUCUUCGGGUAUCUAUAUGGAGGAAGCUGAACCCUACAGAAAGUUACGCAAAUGAUGUCUAAUUAAUGAUGAUGACUCCUUGGUUGCUGCUAAUUGCAGUUUGUGGAGUACAGCAAGAUAAUAUAUUUAGAUGCAGAUAUCCAAGUGUAUGACAACAUCGAUCACCUGUUCGACAUGCCCGAUGGCUACUUCUAUGCAGUGAUGGACUGCUUCUGCGAGAAGACAUGGAGCCACUCUCGACAGUACUCAAUUGGCUAUUGCCAGCAGUGUCCGGACAAGGUGGCAUGGCCUGCUGAGAUGGGAUCCCCUCCUCCGUUGUACUUCAAUGCAGGGAUGUUUGUAUCUGAACCAGCUCGACCAACUUACGAUGGCCUUCUUGAGACUCUUAUGACAACACCUCCAACUCCCUUUGCGGAGCAGGUGAGUCCUCCAACUGGGUUAAAUUUUUUGGAGUUUGAUACAAAAUAUAGAACAGGAUUAUUUACAUAACUAAAAAAUUCUAGUAAGAUAAGGAGAUAAGUUAGUGGACCAGAUUAGAAGAACAUUCUCGCAAACAGAACUUUGAGUUGAAACUUGAAAGAUCAAGAACUAGACAUGCAAAUGAAACAAUCUGAUAGUCCAACCGUAACAAUAAUUAGAACAAAAACACAGUUCAUUUAGUUAUUCUACUUAAUUAAUUUCUACUUCUAGGUAAACACCUGAGAUAUUACAAAAUUAACCCACUCCAGGUAGGUAACAAAAUUAUGAACCAUGCAAAUCUGGAAACAGGUUAACACAUGCUUUCAUUAUGUAAGAUCCACACAAUCAUUAUCCUAUAACCAGCAUCUUGCUCCAGUCCCUAAAGAGAUAGGAGUCUUUCUAACCUUGGACAUAGGGAAGUACCGUUAAGUCAGCAAAACUAUACAUUUUUUCUUAUUCAACAACUACAUGUGGCAUAAAAAUUGACCAUAUAUUCUCUACAUCCUGCCUUAUCUCUUGCGACUGGUGCAAAUAUUCCUUACAGCUAAUGUUGUUUAUAGAGAUUAUGAAGCUAGGGAAUGUGACAAUUAUGACAAUGACAUCGGUGGUUUCCUUGCGUAGAGUUAGCAUCGACAGUUUUUCUUAUCUGACAAAUAUGAGGAUAACUGGAAUUCGAUUUAGUCUAUUGGAAAAUAUUAAGAACCAUGUAUUUUUCACUCUAUUUCUGACCUCAUUUUUGUAGGACUUCCUGAACAUGUAUUUCGAGAAAAUCUACAAGCCAAUUCCGCUCAUCUACAAUCUGGUUCUAGCCAUGCUAUGGCGACACCCUGAAAAUGUUGAGCUUGAAAAUGUCAAGGUGGUCCACUAUUGUGCCGCGGUAAGUGCUACAUUAGUCACUUAUCACAAGUACCAGCAUCAUAAUCCAACAUUCCACAAAUUAAUAUUGUAUUUAUCGACCUGCUGUUGCUUUCCAAUGAUGGUGAUAUAGGGUUCCAAGCCUUGGAGGUACACUGGAAAGGAAGCUAACAUGGACAGGGAGGAUAUUAAGAUGUUAGUAGCAAAAUGGUGGGGUAUUUACAAUGAUAAGUCUCUUGACUUUGCUGCAGAGGAUGCAGUCCCAGAAGGAGAGACCUGCUUACCUUCUUCGAUAAUGGUGGCCAUGUCAGAAAACAAUAUCAACUACAUCUCUGCACCCUCUGCUGCCUAAGACAGAAUAAGGGGAGGGAAACAAGAGCAACUAUGAAAGAUAUAAAGAAUAUGAUAUGAUUCUAUAAACACUCCACCUUUCAACACCUAUCAGUAGCUAACCAUAGCAUCCUCUUGAUCAUGAGGUUCCCUGUAGUUUUAUCCCUUGAUUAUAAAAUCUAUAGCAGCCUUAACCACUUAUUUUCCCAUUGUCCGUUUCUGA